rnacentral:sRNA from 1 species
AUUGAGAUCGACUGCGAUGGCCAUCGCGGCGGC